rnacentral:rRNA from 1 species
GAUGAACGCUGGCGGCGUGCUUAACACAUGCAAGUCGAACGGUGAAGGCGGAGCUUGCUCUGCUGGAUCAGUGGCGAACGGGUGAGUAACACGUGAGCAAUCUGCCCCUGACUCUGGGAUAAGCGCUGGAAACGGCGUCUAAUACUGGAUACGAGCUGCGAAGGCAUCUUCAGCAGCUGGAAAGAACUUCGGUCAGGGAUGAGCUCGCGGCCUAUCAGCUUGUUGGUGAGGUAACGGCUCACCAAGGCGUCGACGGGUAGCCGGCCUGAGAGGGUGACCGGCCACUCUGGGACUGAGACACGGCCCAGACUCCUACGGGAGGCAGCAGUGGGGAAUAUUGCACAAUGGGCGAAAGCCUGAUGCAGCAACGCCGCGUGAGGGACGACGGCCUUCGGGUUGUAAACCUCUUUUAGCAGGGAAGAAGCGAAAGUGACGGUACCUGCAGAAAAAGCGCCGGCUAACUACGUG